GACGAACGCUGGCGGCGUGCUUAACACAUGCAAGUCGAACGGAAAGGCCCCAGCUUGCUGGGGUACUCGAGUGGCGAACGGGUGAGUAACACGUGGGUGAUCUGCCCUGCACUCUGGGAUAAGCCUAGGAAACUGGGUCUAAUACCGGAUAGGAGCGUGCGUUAGUGUGUGCGGUGGAGAGUUUUUCGGUGCAGGAUGAGCCCGCGGCCUAUCAGCUUGUUGGUGGGGUAAUGGCCUACCAAGGCGGCGACGGGUAGCCGGCCUGAGAGGGUGUCCGGCCACAUUGGGACUGAGAUACGGCCCAGACUCCUACGGGAGGCAGCAGUGGGGAAUAUUGCACAAUGGGCGCAAGCCUGAUGCAGCGACGCCGCGUGGGGGAUGACGGCCUUCGGGUUGUAAACCCCUUUCGGCAGGGACGAAGCUUUUGUGACGGUACCUGCAUAAGAAGCACCGGCUAACUACGUG
rnacentral:rRNA from 1 species